AAGACUCCAUAGCAGAUGCGCCUCUUCUUUCACUGAAAACAAGAACUUUGCACUGAAUAUUGUGCAAUAUUUGAGCUCUUUGUCACACACAGAUGAAGGCUGGUGCUCUGCCAGUGUUCACGCAGUGUGUAUGAGCGACACGGCCGCACAUCGCGACGAUAAUCCGGCUGAACGUCCGGACUCAGUGCCGCUGGACUGCUGCGGAGGACUCAACAACGUGGAUUAUUCCAAGAUGGACUUGACGCUGAUGGAAGAAAUCCUGAAACACAUCAACUUCCGUGACUCCAGCUUUCAUAUCGCUGUGAUCGCCAUCAUUUUCAACCCGUUGUUCUGGAACGUGGUGGCGAGAUGGGAGCAUCGUACACGGAGACUCUCCAGGCUCUUCGGCAGCCCCUCCCUGGCGUGUUACGGCCUCGGCUUCGCCAUAAUUCUGCUCAACGUGUACCGCAGUCACAGUAUGACGGUGGCGAUGAAGGUCCAGGCCAGGUGGGAGGUGAUGGACAGGACGGAUGUCUUCUACGCGGGUGCAGCCCUCAUGGUGCUGGGCACUGUGCUGGUGGUGGGCAGCUUCCUGGCUCUGGGAUUCACCGGAACCUUCCUGGGUGAUUACUUUGGCAUCCUGAUGGAUGAGAAGGUGACUGGCUUUCCCUUCAACAUCAUAGAGAACCCCAUGUACUGGGGCAGCACAGCCAACUACCUCGGCCUGGCACUCAUUGGUGCCAGUCCCGUUGGUCUCGUCCUGACUGCUACAGUCGCUGUGGUCUAUAAGGUGGCGAUAAGGAUUGAAGGGUAGGUCUUUCUUUGUCUCAGGUUCACGUUUGUCAAUGAACUGUAUUUGGUUACUCACAGGUGGGAGGGCACUAAGUCUGUAAAUGAUAUGUUUUGUAACCUUAUGUAUCUUAACAUGCAUCCUCCUCCUCGCUCAUCCAAGGCCAUUACGAGUUUAGCCACAGACCCAUAACAGUUAUGAGUGGCCUACUUCUCGAUAUCUGUCCACACACACACACACACACACACACACACACGCAGAAAACACAAACAACCACGAACACACAGACAAGCCAGUCAAAGAUUUGGCAGAGCUCGGCAUGAAAACAGCUGCUAUGUGCACUUACUCAUUCUGUGUGUGUGUUUGGGUGUGUGUGUGUGUGUGUGUGUGUGUGUGUGUGUGUGUGUGUGUGUGUGUGUGUGUGUGUGUGUGUGUGCACUUACAGUAGCUGACUGACUGACUUCAUCACACACAUAAAGACCUUUCAGAAUGGCCUCACAACAGGUUGUUAAAUAAAAAGUCAUGUUGGCCUCGGCAGUGUCAGAAACAUGCACUUUUGAAAAUGUCCCGCAUUAACACACGCUGUGAAUUAGAGCACAGGGGAACAUGUCCAAUCCACAGAUGUGUCAUCCAGACCAAAGCUGUGAGUUGGAAGGUAAAGCAGGUGUGAAAAGAUUCAUAUGCUAUAUUUAUCCUCCGCCUCGGGACAGAUUCUGAAUGAUCUCAUCUCGCUCCACUGGACAGCAUGUUGCCUCACAGCGACUGCAGGGGAUGGAAGCUGCACUGUCAUAAUACAGGAAAGUGAAAGGAAACAGAUGAAACCAUUCACCGAACAGAUCUAUAAGGAGAGGAGUCAUCGGCGUAAGCUUGAAUAAUCGCCUCCCGCCCCGAGCUUCCUGCUGCGGUUCAGGAGUCGCGUCCCGUCACCAGGACGUUCAGACUGAAGAACAGAUUCACCAACAGUGUUUAUCAUCAAUCUGCCUCCGGCGUGGAUCCAAAGACUACGUUCACACCUGUGUUGUAAUCUCUUAAUCAAUGUGGACUGAAUGUCAUUUUGGACCACAUGCUGUUAAAGUAGAUAUGUGAUAUUCUGAGAAACAUUCUUAUUAUUAGAUUGAUACCACUAGUAGUUUUAAUCUUCUCAAGUAAAAGGCCUUUGACCCCUCAGAGCCACCGUACAUGCAAACGUUAUCAUCCAAUAAGCCAUCACGUCGUCCCCCAGCACUAAGUACUUUCUGAAAACCAAGUAAAGAAUAAAGGGAAGAAUUUAAAGAUUGUUUCAGCUGAUUGCAGAACAGCUUGACAUCGGGGACGGUGGACACGUACGAAAGAUUAGACGCGAGUGAUUGUGCUGUAGACAGCUAAUCCAUAACUUCCUGUUAAUUCCAUUCAUGCAUUCGUCCCGUUUGACACUUUUAAAUGUCUCGUAUCACAGAUUUUCACAACGAAUUGAUUAACCACAUCAGAUUUUUACAGAAACAUACAAAGAAUAUAGACUUGGUGUGCAGAGGCCUUGAACAGAGAAAAAGUUAUUUCCCAAGAUGUCUAAUUAUUCCUUUAAAGCUGCACUAGGUUACUGUGCAGUAAACACGCACACACACACACACACACACACACACACCACCAACAGCCUAAAUCAUGAAGACGAUAUGCAACAAACAUCAGGAACUUGUCCUCCACCUUCACCGUGGUGCUAAACACAAAGCUUACUUUUUACAUUAAUGUCACGUAUUGUUACCAGACAACAUGCAAAAUAGCUGCACCUGCACCUGCACCUGUAUCUGCACCUGCACCUGUAUCUGUAUCUGCACCUGCACCUGCACCUGUAUCUGUAUCUGCACCUGUAUCUGCACCUGUAUCUGUAUCUGCACCUGCACCUGCACCUGUAUCUGUAUCUGCACCUGUAUCUGCACCUGUAUCUGUAUCUGCACCUGCACCUGUCAGGCCUCAAAUGAAUGAAGUCAUAAUUGAUGUUAAACAUUACACCUGCGUUAUACUGUGAAGAAGUCCCAUUAUAUAUAUAUAUAUAUAUAUAUAUAUAUAUAUAUAUAUAUAUAUAUAUAUAUAGUCAAUGUUUCAUACCGUUUUUAAUGUGAAUAAAGAACCUUUUCAAUGCCAGAGGAGCCAGAGCAUUAAUAUCUUUAUACUGUUCCUAUGCAAACCAUUCCAAACUGUACGAUGCUCACUGCCUGAUGUUCAUGAAGUAUUUGUUUUGAAAUAAAGAGUGGACCUGUGCUUCUC